GUCUUGCAGUCACUAGCCCGUGCUCUCAUGGAGGACUUCAACUCACUGGAUAUCUGCUGGAAGUACAACAGGGCAGAGAAGAAACAGCCUGGGAGUUUCCUGGAGCGUGUGGAAGAUAGCUUCCUGACACAGCUGGUUUGCCAUGUUUGGUAUAACGUACUUUUUAAGAAGCACUGAUCAGCAAGGCAAAGUGGUAGAGUUGCCCUUUUUGUGAGACAGCAACUGGAAAGUAUUGAGCUCUGCCUAGAGGUUGAAGAGGAACAGAUUUAAAGUGUGUGGUAAGAAUUAAGGGUCAGGCUAACAUGAGUGAUGCUGCAGCGGGUGUUAACUAUAGGCCACCUGAUCAGGAAGAGGAAAUGACUGAAGCCUUCUACAGAUGCCUUAAAGCAAAUUUGCAGUCACAUGCCCUGAUUAGCAUGAGGAGCUUCAACCAUCCUGGUGUUUGCUGGGGAGACAACCCAGUGAGGCUCAAACAGCCUGGGGGGUUCCUGCUGUGCAUUAAGGAUGAGUUUUUCACACAGGUGGUGGAGGACCCUACCAGGAGAGUUUUUGCUGGUUGUUGUGCUAAUGAACAAAGAAGAUCUGGCUGAGGAUGUGAAGAUUGGAGACAGCCUUAGCUGCAGCGACCAAGAGAUGGUGGAGUCCAGGGUCAUGUGAGGAAGUAGGAGGAUUGCAACCCUGGACUCCAGGAGAGCCAACUUUGACCUUCAUUGGAUGGAGAGGCUGAAGAGAGUAGGUUAAUAUUCAAGCACCCUCCUUGUUCAUCCCAAUGGGUAAGAAAGCAAGCAUGCGAGGCAAGAGACCUGCACAGAUGAGCAAGGAGCUUCUAGAAAAACUCAAAACCUCAUGGAAGAGCUGUGGGUCCACCAUAGACGUCUCCAGGGAUAACAGUGCAGUGGUGAUGAAGUGUAGCAGCUAUGAAUUGUUGUCCUCUUAUGUGAAGUAAAACCAAUGAGGGAUGCAGUAUGCCCACUGGAAAACAGUGAGCCUGGGACUUCCAUCCAUCCUCUCUGCCACUAUUUUCCACUCAUCCCUGUUUUGGUCCAUCUCAGCCUUCCUACUGGCACUCUCACUCCUGCCUAGCCCACCCCAGCCUCCACAUCCCAAUCUAACAUUUAGGAUCUGCACACCUUGGCUGUGCUCCAUCAACAGAUGGGAAACCUUCCUGAGAUGGGAACAUGCUUUGUAGCACCAAGCAGAUAGUGCAUGUAGUGGCUGCUCAGCCCUGGAAACUCCACAAGAUGUGAUGUGGCAGAGCUUUUGGAAACUUCAUCUCUCACUUCAUACUUGUUCUACUGACGGCAAGAGCAAUAUGGGAUCAUGAAGAAGCCCCUUCUGCCCUGUUUGAGUUGCUACUCUGACACAGAAUGCUGCAGGUUUUCUAAAAGGUCAGCAGAAAAAAAAUACACUUCCUAUUCACAAGCCUGUAUUUUUGGAAUCAAGGGAAUUGUAUUGUCUCAAGCUUUUAAUUUGAAAAAGAAAACAAGAGUCUCCUUUAAAGAAACCCCCCAAUAUUCAUCUAGAUGGCUAAUACCAGCCCUGGCUCUGCAAGAGCUCUGUGCUCUUUGGAGGCAAUG